AAGAGCUCAAAGUUGGAACCUGUUUGGCCUAGCUAAACAGGAUUGUAAACUGUAGAAGUGUUUUCCAGGCAAUCCGAGUUAAUAAGUCCUUUGGAACAGGGCAUCAUAGAGGGUGAGAAUCCCGUCUUUGAUUCGAGAUAUUUUGUCUUUUGCGAUACACUUUCAAAGAGUCAGGUUGUUUGGGAAUGCAGCCUAAAUUGGGUGGUAAAUCUCACCUAAAGCUAAAUAUUGGCGAGAAACCGAUAGCGAACAAGUACCGUGAGGGAAAGAUGAAAAGAACUUUGAAAAGAGAGUUAAACAGUAUGUGAAAUUGUUAAAAGGGAACCGUUUGGAGCCAGACUGGCUUGUCUGUAAUCAAUCUAGGUUUCGUGCCUGGAUGCACUUGCAGACUAUUUGCCUGCCAACGACAAUUUUUUUUGAGUGUAAAAACUAUUGGAAAUGUGGCCAAUAUUUAUUUAUUGGUGUUAUAGUCCUUUAGAAAAUACCUUGAAUUGGAUUGAGGAACGCAGCGAAUGCUUCUCUUUUGAGGCAAAGUCUUUUAUUGGGAUUUACGGAUCAGACUGUGGCAUUGUCACAAGACUUGAAGUUUAAACCUAUUUUUGAAC
rnacentral:rRNA from 1 species